rnacentral:rRNA from 1 species
UACAGAGGUCUCAAGCGUUGUUCGGAUUCAUUGGGCGUAAAGGGUGCGUAGGUGGCGUGGUAAGUCGGGUGUGAAAUUUCGGAGCUUAACUCCGAAACUGCAUUCGAUACUGCCGUGCUUGAGGACUGGAGAGGAGACUGGAAUUUCCGGUGUAGCGGUGAAAUGCGUAGAGAUCGGAAGGAACACCAGUGGCGAAGGCGGCUUCCUGGACUGAUACUGACACUGAGGCGCGAAAGCGUGGGGAGCAAACAGG